rnacentral:rRNA from 1 species
GACGAACGCUGGCGGCGUGCCUAAUACAUGCAAGUCGAGCGGACCAAAGGGAGCUUGCUCCUGGAGGUUAGCGGCGAACGGGUGAGUAACACGUGGGCAACCUGCCUGUAAGACUGGGAUAACAUCGAGAAAUCGGUGCUAAUACCGGAUAAUAAAAAGAACUGCAUGGUUCUUUUUUGAAAGAUGGUUUCGGCUAUCACUUACAGAUGGGCCCGCGGCGCAUUAGCUAGUUGGUGGGUAACGGCUCACCAAGGCGACGAUGCGUAGCCGACCUGAGAGGGUGAUCGGCCACACUGGGACUGAGACACGGCCCAGACUCCUACGGGAGGCAGCAGUAGGGAAUCUUCCGCAAUGGACGAAAGUCUGACGGAGCAACGCCGCGUGAGUGAUGAAGGUUUUCGGAUCGUAAAACUCUAGUUGUUAGGGAAGAACAAGUGCCGUUCGAAAGGGCGGCACCUUGACGGUACCUAACGAGAAAGCCACGGCUAACUACGUGCCAGCAGCCGCGGU